CGCCGGUGCCCCCGCGACGGCAAGCCGUGAACCCCGCCAGGCCCGGAAGGGAGCAACGGUAGCGGUGUAGCCGGGUGCCGGGGUGUCGCUGGCGCGG
rnacentral:SRP_RNA from 1 species